AUGAGAGUGCAGGAAUGUGGGCCUCAUCUCUUCUACAAAUGCCGCUACAUACGAAGGCUUUGGUCUUUGAUCAUUGACAAAUACCAUAUUAUCGGUCUUCACACCAACGGUUGGCCUCUGUUCGACUCAGUUGAGGCUUGGUGGGCAAGUAUCUGCGACAACGCCACGCCAAAUCACCAAGCUAAGGCGUCCCUUACCAUGCUUGUUUCGUGGACUGUCUGGAACGAGCGAAACGCAAGGGUCUUCAAGCACAAGAGCGCUCCUCCAACUAUUUUGCUUGCCUCCAUAGAGACCGAGGCCAACCUUUGGAUCAUCGCCGGUGCCAAAAAAUUAGGGUCCUUUAUUUUGCGAGAGUGA
rnacentral:rRNA from 1 species